ACUCCUGAGCUCGAGCUAUCUGCCUGCCUCUACCUCCCAGAGUGCUAGGAUUACAGGUGUGAGCCACCGCGCCGGCCCAGACCAGGAGAUUUGAACACAGUGUCACUCAUACCCAGACCAAACUUCCCUGCCUUUCCCCUGUGGGCAUCCAGACACCACGAAGCCUGAGGUGCCAGGUGCUGCUCUCCUGCAGUCAGUGGCUGUGCUAUGGGGGCUGGACAGGACACUUCGCACUUUUGCAGUUGCAAAGGCCCUGGCCACGCCCACUGAUGGUGCUCACAGAACUAGACCACCACACUGAAACUGCGGGGAGGGAGACUUAGAAGGCUGCUCUCAGGCAGGCAGGUGAGUGGAAUUGUUGGUAAACAGUUACCAAUCUCAGUUUUUAUAAAGUUGAUAAUCUCUUUGAGUUUAUUUAGUACAAAUAGAAACUAUUUUUAAACAUAAAACCUUUUAAAAACAUAGGUUUGCUAAAGAUUGUAAUCUCCCCUAUUCCUAACUUUUCAUAAAGUCCUGAGUUUCUUAAUUACAAUGUUUUCAUCCAAGAAGAUUUUUAGGAACAUGUCCCCUGUGGUUGGGGUAGGAAUACUCUAUUGCUACUUUAACAGUCUUUACCAACUACAAAGGCAAAAAUUAAAAUUUAAUUUUCUUUCAUUAUUAGUGAAGUCGAAUUUUUCAUGAUAAUUGUUAGUUAUGAUGUCUGUGUCACAAAUUGUCUGUCUGAGCUCCUCACAUAGGGCGACACACAACAGAAGCAGCUGCGGGGUGCUCUCCGUGUGCUGGCGAGUGAUCUGAGAGCUUUGCGUGCAGAGACUCAGUCAGCCCUGACUGCCAGGCAGGUGCAGCCUUUAGCCUCAUGUGAUGGGAGACAUGAAGCGCAAGGAGGCCAGAAACCUGCUGAGGUCUGCCCAGAAGGUCUGGAUUCAGAGCCUGUUGCCAAUAUUUUUCUUAUUUGUCUUUCAUUUUUUUCUAUUAAAUACAACCAUUUAAAAAAAUUUUGUGGUUAAA